GAUGGUUGCAAUGAGGAUAACAAGCUCCCUCUUCUGAAAUCAAGUUGAGGACAAAUGCUGGCGGAAUCGAACCUAAUUCUCAAAAUCGCCAUUGCUGAGUAA